GGAAAUGUGCCUGAGCAUCAUAGGAUUACUUUGAUAGAGUAAAACACAGAGGUUAAAAUCCACUCAUUUCCU
rnacentral:tRNA from 1 species